UACGGAGGGUGCAAGCGUUUAUCCGGAUUCACUGGGUUUAAAGGGAGCGUAGGUGGGCUUGUAAGUCAGUGGUGAAAUCUCCGUGCUUAACACGGAAACUGCCAUUGAUACUAUAGGUCUUGAAUUAUCUGGAGGUAAGCGGAAUAUGUCAUGUAGCGGUGAAAUGCUUAGAUAUGACAUAGAACACCAAUUGCGAAGGCAGCUUACUACGGAUUGAUUGACACUGAGGCACGAAAGCGUGGGGAUCAAACAGG
rnacentral:rRNA from 1 species